CAGCCAGGAGCCAUGGGGUGGCUGAGGCAGGAGCCCAGCCAGGAGAGACUUGCUGGGGAUGGAGAGUGAAAUGAGCUGCAGAAGGAAAAGGCAAGCACUGGCGUACUUGCAAGUGGGACAGAGCAAGGUUCCCCAUGGACCAGACAUUUCUGAGAUUGCUUUUAGAGGGAUUCAGUGCAUAUCGUUUGGCUAAAGCUCAAUACAGACUAUGCAGAAAGCUGCUGUAUUCAUCCACUACCUUGCUGGAGCCUGGAUUUUCAUAGCAGCCUGCUGCCAGCACUGCUGAGGAGCAGGAUAUUUACUCAGUAUAUUACUUUUAUGCUUGU
rnacentral:lncRNA from 1 species